AGAGUUUGAUCAUGGCUCAGAUUGAACGCUGGCGGCAGGCCUAACACAUGCAAGUCGAACGGUAACAGGAAGAAGCUUGCUUCUUUGCUGACGAGUGGCGGACGGGUGAGUAAUGUCUGGGAAACUGCCUGAUGGAGGGGGAUAACUACUGGAAACGGUAGCUAAUACCGCAUAACGUCGCAAGACCAAAGAGGGGGACCUUCGGGCCUCUUGCCAUCGGAUGUGCCCAGAUGGGAUUAGCUAGUAGGUGGGGUAACGGCUCACCUAGGCGACGAUCCCUAGCUGGUCUGAGAGGAUGACCAGCCACACUGGAACUGAGACACGGUCCAGACUCCUACGGGAGGUAGCAGUGGGGAAUAUUGCACAAUGGGCGCAAGCCUGAUGCAGCCAUGCCGCGUGUAUGAAGAAGGCCUUCGGGUUGUAAAGUACUUUCAGCGGGGAGGAAGGGAGUAAAGUUAAUACCUUUGCUCAUUGACGUUACCCGCAGAAGAAGCACCGGCUAACUCCGUGCCAGCAGCCGCGGUAAUACGGAGGGUGCAAGCGUUAAUCAGAAUUACUGGGCGUAAAGCGCACGCAGGCGGUUUGUUAAGUCAGAUGUGAAAUCCCCGGGCUCAACCUGGGGACUGCGUCUGAUACUGGCAAGCUUGAGUCUCGUAGAGGGGGGUAGAAUUCCAGGUGUAGCGGUGAAAUGCGUAGAGAUCUGGAGGAAUACCGGUGGCGAAGGCGGCCCCCUGGACGAAGACUGACGCUCAGGUGCGAAGGCGUGGGGAGCAAACAGGAUUAGAUACCCUGGUAGUCCACGCCGUAAACGAUGUCGACUUGGAGGUUGUGCCCUUGAGGCGUGGCUUCCGGAGCUAACGCGUUAAGUCGACCGCCUGGGGAGUACGGCCGCAAGGUUAAAACUCAAAUGAAUUGACGGGGGCCCGCACAAGCGGUGGAGCAUGUGGUUUAAUUCGAUGCAACGCGAAGAACCUUACCUGGUCUUGACAUCCACGGAAGUUUUCAGAGAUGAGAAUGUGCCUUCGGGAACCGUGAGACAGGUGCUGCAUGGCUGUCGUCAGCUCGUGUUGUGAAAUGUUGGGUUAAGUCCCGCAACGAGCGCAACCCUUAUCCUUUGUUGCCAGCGGUCCGGCCGGGAACUCAAAGGAGACUGCCAGUGAUAAACUGGAGGAAGGUGGGGACGACGUCAAGUCAUCAUGGCCCUUACGACCAGGGCUACACACGUGCUACAAUGGCGCAUACAAAGAGAAGCGACCUCGCGAGAGCAAGCGGACCUCAUAAAGUGCGUCGUAGUCCGGAUUGGAGUCUGCAACUCGACUCCAUGAAGUCGGAAUCGCUAGUAAUCGUGGAUCAGAAUGCCACGGUGAAUACGUUCCCGGGCCUUGUACACACCGCCCGUCACACCAUGGGAGUGGGUUGCAAAAGAAGUAGGUAGCUUAACCUUCGGGAGGGCGCUUACCACUUUGUGAUUCAUGACUGGGGUGAAGUCGUAACAAGGUA
rnacentral:rRNA from 1 species